rnacentral:lncRNA from 1 species
CCGCCCAGCACGGACACCAUUUUAGGUCGCGACAUCCAGCAGCCUUGAGUCCCCCGGCCGCACUCCGACUGCCUCUCAGUCUAGAAGCGCCAGGACUUAGGGGUCCAGGAACCCCCUCCCACGUUACCGGGCUAGGGGCAGUGCUUCCAGCAAACUGGAGUUCCCAGCGCUUGUCCUCGAAGAAGAAGGCAGCGACCCCGCCAGGCAAGCAGCCGCCCCGGGGGGCGGCGGCACGGAGAAGGGGGUAGUUGACCAAGUGGGGGAGGGGCAGGGGUAUUUACCCGCCCCCCCUGGGGGCGGAGCCAGGGGCGGGUAUUUGCCGCGAGCAUGCUUACUUGUUCCGAUCCUAGUGCGGGCCGAGACCCUACGGCCUCCCCCAGUUCCAGCCGCCACCGCCGCUGCCGCCGCCGCCGCCCUCCCCGCGGCCGC